GAGUGUAUAGCUCAAGUGGUAAAGUGCAUGCUUACCAAGCAGGAGGUCCUGGGUUCCAUCCCCAGUACCUCCU
rnacentral:tRNA from 1 species